ACAGCUACCUAUGUGCAUAAUUUAUACCGUGGUCAUAUCUUUUACACUCUCCAGCAUUUUCAUGUUGUCAACGCUAUCGUCCCUAUGUUUCGGUCUAUAGUAAUCAGUGUAAAAAUAUAUAUGUGAAAACACAGUAAAAAUAACAUUAUCAUACGCAAGUACGCGAUAAACCUUUACUUACUAGUUUCAACUUCGCCAAUAAUUCUAAGGUAUUCCACAAAAAUAAAAAACAAAACAAAACAAUACUGGAUUAUUUCCAAAACAAAUUAAUAAAGGUUUUAACUAAGUUACUUGCAUAAUAUUAAAAUAUACAUAUUAACCAAGUAGCUAGUAUAGUUGUGCAUUUUACAAUUUCAAAAUAUGUGAAUAAAUAUUAUGUGGAUU